AGCCUCUACAAGCGUAUGCAAUAGUUGCUGCGUUUAAAAAGCUCAUAGUUGGAUCUUACGCGGUGCUACGGAUAACAUGUGUGCGGCGAGGCCGUUACUCCCGUAGUACUGCUAAUGAACGCUUUGAAGAAGCAGACUGCCCUUAAUUGUGGCGGUCUGUGGAACAAAGUCAGUAUCCUGAGGAAAUUAGAGUGUUCAAAGCGUCCUUUGGGAUGUGAAUAUUAAAGCAUGGAAUAGAGGAGAAUGACCUGCGUACGUUCGUGGGCUGUAAGCUUGUGCGUGGUAAUGGUUAAAAGGAACAGUCGGGGGCAUUUGUAUUGUUGGGUUAGAGGUGAAAUUCUUGGAUCCCAGCAAGACAAACUACAGCGAAAGCAUUUGCCAAGAAUGUUUUCA
rnacentral:rRNA from 1 species